AACAUAACUUUUAUUUGUUUUAGUACGUUCGACAGUUUUGUUUUCGGUUUCAAAGAUAAUGCUAUCAAAAAUCUUAAGUUCAAAGCAAACACGUUGCGUGACGUGAGUUGAACCCCAAUAAACACUUAAAAAUCUCCGGAAUUUAUCGGUACAAAUGUGAAAAUUCUUAUUUAAAUGAGACAUAGUUGUAACGUGUUACACGUUAAGAACAUUACGUUAAAGCCGUUACGUACAACGUAACGCGUGUUACGUAGCGAAUUAUCGUUAUAUAUUUCACGAGAGGUUCAAGUCAUUUAAUUCAGUUUCUGAUCUAAUAUCGAACAUAAAAAAUGGCACCCAAAUGAACCAUAAGAACGUGAUUUUUUAGAGUAGCCACAAUUCUACGCUCUAGCCAACGAUAAAUUAAUUAAUAGAAAAAGCAAGGCAAAAAAGAAGAAAAUAGACAAACGUUAAAAAAUGUGUGUGAACUGUGAAAAGACAGGACACAUUGGAACGAACCCAGGUAAUUGUCAUGAAAAUGAGGCACCGCUAAAUUGUUGAGAGAGCCGCAAACGUGUUUAGUUUGCUGAUUAGGCCAGGAAAAAAAGAUAUAUAGAAACAACAAAACAACAAGCAGGCCAGGCAGCCGGAGGCGUAUGCUAACCCAAAGCACAACGUGACAGUUGCCCUUGGCAAUGGCGGGCGAAAAGAUACACCCAGACAGCUCACAGUUGCGACAGCUGUGGGAGGGAGGGCCCGGAAAGGGGCCGGAGCUGGCUGCUGGCAGCUGGGGAAUGCGUGUCCUUUGUCGUCGGCGUCCAACUCCCCAAUGCGCCAUGUGCUCAAGUGGCGUCGACACUUCAACUUCGGCAUUAAAUGCGGAACUGAAGCCAGAGCGAAAGUUGCCGGGCACAAAGGAACCAAUUUGUUGGAUAACAGACACAGAACACAUUUGGAUGCACUCCGCAAACGUUGCCAGCUGCCAAGAUGUACAAGAUUUAUUAACGCUUCUUUCGUCUGAACAACAGCAGCAACCCUCGCCGUCUGGCUGCCGGCUCAAGGGCCAAGGGUUAAAAGCCGCACAGAAAGCACCCACAUACACACACAAACACACACACACACACACAGGUACAUCACAAAGAAAAACAGCCAAAAGCUAAUGCUUGUCCGUAUUAGAGAAACACCUGACACAGCCCAAAAGCGCGCACACACAGACACAUUUCCGAUAAAGAGGAUGGUAAAAAGUA